GAGUUUGAUCCUGGCUCAGGAUGAACGCUGGCGGCGUGCUUAACACAUGCAAGUCGAACGGGAAACCUUUUAUUGAAGCUUCGGCAGAUUUAGCUGGUUUCUAGUGGCGGACGGGUGAGUAACGCGUGGGUAACCUGCCUUAUACAGGGGGAUAACAGUCAGAAAUGACUGCUAAUACCGCAUAAGCGCACAGAGCUGCAUGGCUCGGUGCGAAAAACUCCGGUGGUAUAAGAUGGACCCGCGUUGGAUUAGCUAGUUGGUGAGGUAACGGCCCACCAAGGCGACGAUCCAUAGCCGACCUGAGAGGGUGACCGGCCACAUUGGGACUGAGACACGGCCCAAACUCCUACGGGAGGCAGCAGUGGGGAAUAUUGCACAAUGGGCGAAAGCCUGAUGCAGCGACGCCGCGUGAGCGAAGAAGUAUUUCGGUAUGUAAAGCUCUAUCAGCAGGGAAGAAAAUGACGGUACCUGACUAAGAAGCACCGGCUAAAUACGUGCCAGCCGCCGCGGUAAUUC
rnacentral:rRNA from 1 species